rnacentral:rRNA from 1 species
UACGGAGGAUGCGAGCGUUAUCCGGAUUUAUUGGGUUUAAAGGGUGCGUAGGCGGGAUGCCAAGUCAGCGGUAAAAAUGCGGUGCUCAACGCCGUCGAGCCGUUGAAACUGGCGUUCUUGAGUGGGCGAGAAGUAUGCGGAAUGCGUGGUGUAGCGGUGAAAUGCAUAGAUAUCGCGCAGAACUCCGAUUGCGAAGGCAGCAUACCGGCGCCCUACUGACGCUGAGGCACGAAAGCGUGGGUAUCGAACAGG